UGGAAUCCACGAAAUUGGAGAAAGGCAAUGUUUUAAAAUCCUAAUUUACCACUCUCAACUAUUGACCCGUGCAAAUUUAUUGUAAACCAUGGCCAUAAACUUAAGGAUCAGUUUUAUCUCGCUAGGAAUUCUGCUGUUGAUGUUUUAUGUUUCAGGAUCUGAAUGUAAACCAAUUAAGGACACAUUUGACUCAAUUACACGUUUAAGUGAUUCAGGGUCACAAGGAUACACUCAAUAUUUUCGUAAAGCCCUGAUGGACGCUAGCCACGUUUUAGACAACAUGCUACAGAAGGGCAAAAUGAGACUAAUGGACCUGCCUUUUGAUAAUUUUGAAGACUGGG